GUGAGGAAUAUUGGUCAAUGGACGAGAGUCUGAACCAGCCAAGUAGCGUGAAGGAUGACUGCCCUAUGGGUUGUAAACUUCUUUUAUACGGGAAUAAAGUGGAGUAUGCAUACUCCUUUGUAUGUACCGUAUGAAUAAGGAUCGGCUAACUCCGUGCCAGCAGCCGCGGUAAUACGGAGGAUCCGAGCGUUAUCCGGAUUUAUUGGGUUUAAAGGGAGCGUAGGCGGGUGCUUAAGUCAGUUGUGAAAGUUUGCGGCUCAACCGUAAAAUUGCAGUUGAUACUGGGUACCUUGAGUGCAGCAUAGGUAGGCGGAAUUCGUGGUGUAGCGGUGAAAUGCUUAGAUAUCACGAAGAACUCCGAUUGCGAAGGCAGCUUACUGGACUGUAACUGACGCUGAUGCUCGAAAGUGUGGGUAUCAAACAGGAUUAGAUACCCCUGUAGUCC
rnacentral:rRNA from 1 species